AGAGCGAACGCUGGCGGCAGGCUUAACACAUGCAAGUCGAGCGGGCAUAGCAAUAUGUCAGCGGCAGACGGGUGAGUAACGCGUGGGAACAUACCUUUUGGUUCGGAACAACACAGGGAAACUUGUGCUAAUACCGGAUAAGCCCUUACGGGGAAAGAUUUAUCGCCGAAAGAUUGGCCCGCGUCUGAUUAGCUAGUUGGUGGGGUAACGGCCCACCAAGGCGACGAUCAGUAGCUGGUCUGAGAGGAUGAUCAGCCACAUUGGGACUGAGACACGGCCCAAACUCCUACGGGAGGCAGCAGUGGGGAAUAUUGGACAAUGGGCGCAAGCCUGAUCCAGCCAUGCCGCGUGAGUGAUGAAGGCCCUAGGGUUGUAAAGCUCUUUUGUGCGGGAAGAUAAUGACGGUACCGCAAGAAUAAGCCCCGGCUAACUUCGCGCCAGCAGCCGC
rnacentral:rRNA from 1 species